rnacentral:rRNA from 1 species
UUGACCUCAAAUCAGGUAGGACUACCCGCUGAACUUAAGCAUAUCAAUAAGCGGAGGAAAAGAAACUAAACAAGGAUUCCCCUAGUAACUGCGAGUGAAGCGGGAAAAGCUCAA